rnacentral:rRNA from 1 species
GAUGAACGCUGGCGGCGUGCCUAAUACAUGCAAGUCGAGCGAACAGACGAGGAGCUUGCUCCUUCGACGUUAGCGGCGGACGGGUGAGUAACACGUAGGUAACCUACCUAUAAGACUGGGAUAACUUCGGGAAACCGGAGCUAAUACCGGAUAAUAUUUCGAACCGCAUGGUUCGAUAGUUAAAGAUGGCUUUGCUAUCACUUAUAGAUGGACCUGCGCCGUAUUAGCUAGUUGGUAAGGUAACGGCUUACCAAGGCAACGAUACGUAGCCGACCUGAGAGGGUGAUCGGCCACACUGGAACUAAGACACGGUCCAGACUCCUACGGGAGGCAGCAGUAGGGAAUCUUCCGCAAUAGGCGAAAGCCUGACGGAGCAACGCCGCGUGAGUGAUGAAGGUCUUCGGAUCGUAAAACUCUGUUAUUAGGGAAGAACAAACGUAUAAGUAACUGUGCACGUCUUGACGGUACCUAAUCAGAAAGCCACGGCUAACUACGUG